CACGUAGGGUGCAAGCGUUAAUCGGAAUUACUGGGCGUAAAGCGUGUGUAGGCGGUCUGCUAAGUCGGGUGUGAAAGCCCUGGGCUCAACCGGAAGUGCACUCGAACUGGAGUGCUAGAGUUCUGGAGGGGUAGCGGAAUUCCGUGGUGUAGCGGUGGAAAUGCGUAGAUAUCAGGAGGAACACCGGUGCGAAGGCGGCUCCUGGACAGAAACUGACGCUGAGGCGCGAAAGCUAGGGGAGCAAACAGG
rnacentral:rRNA from 1 species